rnacentral:lncRNA from 1 species
UAUCAUAUAUAUAUUUUUGAAGUUUGCAUUAUGCUACAUUUAGAGUUGGCCUUCCUAAUACAUUUAGUUAACCUUAUUCAGCAUUGGUUGGUGCAUCUGUAGCCGGUCUUGGUUGGGGAGUAUUUGAAAGGGAUUAGAGUUUACGAUUGGACCAAUAAUGCCACAGUGAUCUUAUUUGAAAUCUAUCUAUUUAUAUAUUAUUUGAGAACUUUUUUUCAAAUUUUAUUGUACACGUGGCACUCUCAGAUGAAUCCUCUUAUAAUAUUGUUUUGGCAUUAAUGUCUCAUAAUCAAAUCUAUAAUCAAAUCAAAAUUACCGGAAAAGCCAGUCUCCGCCACCACCACGAAAAAUUUCCCCAUCUCCUUCUCCCUUUUGUCUCUCACUCUCUCUUCUCCAUGCGACAGAAAGG